CACUCACAGAUUUUAGGCCUAAGCCUGACGAAUUCCGAAUCACUACUCAAGCGAGAUUCCCUUCGUAUCCUGCCACAAUAAAUAUGCUUAGGACCAAACUUAAAUUCUGGAAAAUUAAACAUUUGAAAAUAAACACCCAAAUCUCUUCCGCUUAACCCACUACUCUAACUAGGGUUAAGCUCACCAGAUUUCCACCAAACUCCACCAUAACCUUAAUUCCUCAAUUCUAACAUUUUAGAAUAAAUAUCAAGGAAAUCUAACGGCCGGAUUUUCAUUCUAAUAACCGGCAAAAACCUUAAUCUUUUAAAAUCUCAAACCUUAACAAAACUCCUCCAAAAAUUCCAAACUAUACUUCAUUAGACUCCUCUCAUUAAAACAAACCCAAAAACCUGAAAAUCAACUUCCAAGUGGCGGUGCCGCCGCCUGCUCCGCCGGCAGCGGCGGCCGGUGGCCGUACUCCGGCGACGUCCAAUGCCUCCCAAAAUUUAACAGAAUAAUCCUCUCAUCAAGCACAACAACUUUCAUAACUAGCAUUUAGUCCAAUUCUAAGCUUAACUAGGGUAAUCAAAUCAAAACAUCCAAAAAUCCCCCAAUUCAAACCCUAGCCCGAAAAUCCUCUAACACACUUCAAAUUGGAUCAUUACCUUCUAGGGAAUUGUUGCACAUGGAGAGCUCUUCCUAACAAGACCCGAAUCACCGGUGAUGGCGGCCGGAGGAGCGAUUUUCGACGACCGGACUCCACAACACAGUCGGAGCUUCCGGGCGCUCUCUCUCCCUCACGGCGGCACUAGGGCGUCUCCCACCGGUCCAAGAAGAGAGCUGGGUCGACGGCCGACCGUUCGGGACCGGUGCGGCGGUCUGCGGCGGCCGGACGGCGACGGACGGGAUUGGGUUAUCCGGCGGGUCGGGAAGAGUUCAGGAGAGAAAGGAGAGAGAAGGGAGAGAGAAUGGGGUUUGGGCUCUCCAAAUCCUACCCGGUCCAACUUAAACCCACAACAAAUAAAGCCUACUAGAAUUUACCUCAUUUUACCAACAUAGAAACUUUCGUUAUUAGACCAUAACUUCUUC
rnacentral:lncRNA from 1 species